AGUGCGCACACACGGAGAGGAGAGCGGGGGCUGGCUCCCCUCAGGCACCGGGAGCACGGUGUAGGCGGGCUUGGUCCAUCUGCCGCGUGUCAGGCAGUCUGGAGGCCUGUUAGGAGCGCUUCACAGGGAUGUACAGUGAUGAGCAGCGAGUGUACGCUGCAGCUUAACUGCACAGUGUGUGUGUGUGCACAUGCCUUACACAGCUGGGCCUGUUCUUCCCAAAAGCAAUAAGUAGCGAAAAUGGCACUUUUGUCAUGAAGCAGUCCUUGUAUUUGAUGUGCAGAUCUAAUCAGCGUUACGCUGUGGUGAGAGACUCAAAUACAGUUGAGAUAUUUGAGGUACUGCUAGUUUGCAUCAUUGUACAUGCUUCUAUGAUUACAGAAAUUCUUAUUUUGCUCCUACUAUAUUGCAUUCUUUAUUAUUUAAGUUGUCUCCUCGUUCAGUUCUAGAGAACGUAUGCACUGCAUGUCUUGAGAAAAAGCUUUCUUUUCUCUUUAGUAUUCCUUGAUUUUGCAGGGAGUGUUAACUGAAUAUCAGCUGUGGAAAAAAAAAAUAAGGCCACAAAGACAAUUGUUUUGGCUUGGUGUUCUAUUUUUUUGGCUGAGUAUACUUUGUGAGUGUACUUCCUUUCCAGGGCAAUGGUUCUUGUUUCCCUCUGGCAUUAUUUGUGUCCUUCUUUGGCUGAAGUGGCUUUGGAGGUACUUAGGAAGAGCUGUCAAACAAUGAUGUGCUGCCUCCAGAUCCUUGUCUCGUCACAGGAUAAAAUUCAGGUGUCACAGGAACCACUGCCCAGCAAGAACCAGCGCCCUGAUGGAGGAGCAGCGACGGCCUGCGACAAGGAGUGUCUGCGUGGUGGGUGAUUUUACAGGGUUUUACAGUCCCACAUAAACCGGGGAGAAGAUUUGUUUCCAUUUGUUUUAGCUUCAAGUCAAGCAUGCUUCUAAAUCAUCAGCACCCAGACUGGAUCUCUUUGGGAAGGGGGGAGGAUUGGCAGCAAGGAUGCUCACGGCCACAGCUUUGCUUCAUGAAAGGGGUGAUGAAUGCUGAGCUGUGCAGAGCUCAGCUCUGUGCAGAGCAGCAGAGAAGACAAACCUCAAACACGGGGCAAGACAAAGGCCAGAGAAAGCUGCUUUGGCAUCUGACCCGCCUGCUUUACUUGGUGCAUCCCAAACCCUUCUGCAGUCUCUCUUCCCGCAGCCACAUGCUCAGCUCUGGAUUUGGCUGUGGUGCCGCUGGAAAAAAAAUAAAAGGAAAAAAUAAAACCCACCGCUUGUAAAUCUA